CUAAUCGUCGGCUCAAUGACGACGAGGCCCGACCCUUCCCGUCCAGGACCUACAGAGACAACCGAAGGAGAGCCCAAGGCGGCUUCUUUGCUGUCGCCGCCCCCACUGAAGCAAGAGCUCCCCGGCUCCACUGAAACACCAGCUCAUUUAAGCUUUCCCCAACGCCCGGCCCUCCGGGACGAUACCUAACAACCACCGGCGCCCGCAUCUGGAAUAGGCUGGCGAGAUACUUAGUAUCCGAGGGCUCGGGACUUGGCGCCAUCGAGGUCAUGGGGACCCAGGAUCCAGGGAACAUGGGAACCGGCGUCCCAGCCUCGGAGCAGAUAAGCUGUGCCAAAGAGGAUCCACAAGUUUAUUGCCCUGAAGAGACUGGCGGCACCAAGGAUGUGCAGGUUACAGACUGUAAGAGUCCCGAAGACAGCCGACCCCAAAAAGAGACGGACUGCUGCAAUCCGGAGGACUCUGGGCAGCUGAUGGUUUCCUAUGAGGGUAAAGCUAUGGGCUACCAGGUGCCUCCCUUUGGCUGGCGCAUCUGUCUGGCUCAUGAGUUUACAGAGAAGAGGAAACCCUUUCAAGCUAACAACGUCUCCCUAAGCAACAUGAUAAAGCAUAUAGGCAUGGGCUUGAGGUACCUGCAGUGGUGGUACCGGAAAACCCAGGUGGAAAAGAAGACACCUUUCAUCGACAUGAUCAAUUCUGUACCCCUAAGACAGAUUUAUGGUUGUCCCUUGGGUGGCAUCGGGGGAGGCACUAUUACCCGUGGCUGGAGAGGCCAGUUCUGUCGUUGGCAGCUUAACCCUGGAAUGUAUCAGCACCGGACAGUCAUCGCUGACCAA
rnacentral:sRNA from 1 species